GCACAAGCGGUGGAGCAUGUGGUUUAAUUCGACGCAACGCGCAGAACCUUACCAGCCCUUGACAUCCCGGUCGCGGACUCCAGAGACGGAGUUCUUCAGUUCGGCUGGACCGGAGACAGGUGCUGCAUGGCUGUCGUCAGCUCGUGUCGUGAGAUGUUGGGUUAAGUCCCGCAACGAGCGCAACCCCCGUCCUUAGUUGCUACCAUUUAGUUGAGCACUCUAAGGAGACUGCCGGUGAUAAGCCGCGAGGAAGGUGGGGAUGACGUCAAGUCCUCAUGGCCCUUACGGGCUGGGCUACACGCGUGCUACAAUGGCGGUGACAAUGGGACGCUAAGGGGCAACCCUUCGCAAAUCUCAAAAAGCCGUCUCAGUUCGGAUUGGGCUCUGCAACUCGAGCCCAUGAAGUUGGAAUCGCUAGUAAUCGUGGAUCAGCACGUCACGGUGAAUACGUUCCCGGGC
rnacentral:rRNA from 1 species